rnacentral:rRNA from 1 species
UACGUAGGUGGCAAGCGUUGUCCGGAUUUACUGGGCGUAAAGAGCGCGCAGGCGGUCGUUCAAGUCGCGUGUGAAAGCCCCCGGCUCAACUGGGGAGGGUCACGCGAUACUGAUCGACUCGAAGGCAGGAGAGGGUAGUGGAAUUCCCGGUGUAGUGGUGAAAUGCGUAGAUAUCGGGAGGAACACCAGUGGCGAAGGCGACUACCUGGCCUGUUCUUGACGCUGAGGCGCGACAGCGUGGGGAGCAAACAGG